GCCACCUUAGCUCAACGGUAGAGCUUUCGCUUCGUAAGCGAGAGGUUUUGGGUUCGAAUCCCAAAGGUGGCU
rnacentral:tRNA from 1 species